CUGAGUUCGAAUUCUGCUCUGUCCCAUACUAGUUGUGAGAUGUGGGACAAGUCACCUCACCUCUCUUGAGUCUGUUUUCUCACCCAAGUGGGAUAAUAGGACUUACCUCGCAGAGGGUGGUGAGACUUAAGUAAGACCCUGUAGGGGAAGCGCGAGGCGCAGGGCCCCUCGCAGAAGAGCGCCCGAGAAAUCAAGCGCCACGGUGGGAGAGGUUCUUUCUGGCCGCCAAAUUGCGCCCUGCUCCCUGGCCCUGGCCUAGGCCGUGUUCGUGGCUUUGACCACGUAAAUGGGCCAUUUUAGCGGGGUCGAGAGCGAGGACAGCAAACGAGGCUGCGCUUCUCCCUGUCCACCAGGAGCACACGCAGCUGAGAGUCUUAAUUCACGUGGCUCGACAGGUGAUCCGGAGGAAUAUGUCGUGGUGUGUCUGUGUGUAUACAGGUGUGUGUGUAUCCACGCGCGUGUUCGUGCGUACGAGAGUGCCUGUGGUUGUGCGGGAAACAGCGUGUACCGGGCGGCCCGCGAAGAUUCUUCUCCCCAAGGCACCUUCCGGCUUUUCUCCGCGCCCCCUUCGCGGCUGCCGGGAGGGUAAUUAAACGGGACGCGCCGCAGCCGGCAAACAGAUGGCGUCUGCUUGCUCCGAGGCCGCCGGCAAACAGCGCAAAAGUCAAUGCCUCCCGGGUCCCCCGUCAGCGCCCCUGGCCCGGCUCCUACUCAGCGCCACCAAGCCAUGCCUCCAGCCCCCUGUGCACCCUCAGCCUCUGACUCCAGCCUCACUCCGGGUCUCCACCACGGCCAUCCCUUUGGACCCCACCUUCGCCUGGGCGAAAGCAUCGGGGAUGGGGCCAGCCGCGAACACUGACCGAGCUGUACCUCAGGCCGUGACGUCAGGACGGGCGAGUAAGGCGAAAGUUAAAAGUACUCCUGGGGGCCCGCGGCGACCUUGUCUGCAGCCCGGAAGGACCGACAGAUGGAUGCGCACCCUGCGUCCAAAAGGAUCUGGGGAGACAGAGAGGCCACUUUUAACUUUCGUUUAAAAAAGAAAAUUAAACUGUUCGUUAAUUUAAAACAAUAACGAUGAAAAGAAUCCCACCACCACGAAAAGGAAAUCGAGAUGCUGCAGAAGUGAGGAAAGGAAAGAGCAAGAGGGGGCAGAGGGAUGGGGCUGGGGGGAGGGGAGAAGAAAGGCGCAGAGCGCAGGGGACGCGGCGGGCGUGGACGGGAAGCGGGACCUCAUUCCUUCUCUCCCGACUCUUCCUUAAGAACGAAAAUCCUCGUAAACCACACUUACCCUCCUUGCUGCCUAUCGUAUCAGGACUUGAAAAUAAAGGACCUGCGUUUUAAGGGCAGUAGGGGAAAAAACAAAAUAGCCUCCAACUACUCCAAACGCGUCGGACUUGGGAGCGCGCCGAAACGGAGCCGGAAGGAGGCAGGAAAAAUCGUCUUGGCAUUUAUGCCAUAUGCACCCUCCUCUCUCCACCCCCACCCCGACCACAGUAAUUGAAUUGAC
rnacentral:lncRNA from 1 species